rnacentral:rRNA from 1 species
GACGAACGCUGGCGGCGUGCUUAACACAUGCAAGUCGAACGCUGAAGCUCAGCUUGCUGGGUGGAUGAGUGGCGAACGGGUGAGUAACACGUGAGUAACCUGCCCUCUUCUUUGGGAUAACGCCCGGAAACGGGUGCUAAUACUGGAUAUUCACUGAUUCUCGCAUGGGGGUUGGUGGAAAGGUUUUUUCUGGUGGGGGAUGGGCUCGGGGCCUAUGAGGUUGUUGGUGGGGUGAUGGCCUACCAAGGCUUUGACGGGUAGCCGGCCGGGGAGGGUGACCGGGUACAUUGGGACUGAGAUACGGCCCAGACGCCUGCGGGAGGCGGCAGUGGGGAAUAUUGCACAAUGGGCGAAAGCCUGAUGCAGCGGCGCCGCGUGAGGGAGGGAGGCCUUCGGGUUGUAAACCUCUUUCGCUCAUGGUCAAGCCGCAGCUUUGGGUUGUGGUGAGGGUAGUGGGUAAAGAAGCGCCGGCUAACUACGUG